rnacentral:snRNA from 1 species
GUGCCCAGUUUGGCAGCACAUAUACUAACAUUAGAACAAUACAGAGAUUAGCACGACCCCUGCGCAAGAAUGACACACAAAUUCGUGAAGGGUUCCAUAUAUUU